CGUUGAAACACCUGUUUCCUGACGAUCACGGAAGUUAAGCAUCGUCGAAUCUGGUCAGUACUCAGAUCGGUGACAGCUUGGGAAUGCCAUGUGUUGUAAG